AUAAUCCUUAAGUGGGAGAAAAUUAGGUACUCUUAGACUAUCCCAGAUCUCCACAAUUCCCUAUAUGGGGGCUGGGGGGUGGUGAGGUAAGUCCUUGAGAAGUUGUAAGCACAAAUUGGCCCUUACAUGGAUACGUAUCAGAAAAACCAGUAAACUAUAUUAGAAGAAUGGAACAAGAAUGUGUGUGUGUGUGUGUGUAGUGAAAGAGCUAAAUUCUCAUCUUCUGUGUUGGGAAGUCAGAUAUUGUCUAACGUUACAAAAAUCAAGAAAUAAUAUAAGCACAUGAUUUUGAGAUAUGGUAGUGAAUACCAAAAUAAGGAGCUAUGGGUUGAAACUACUCCCAGUUGUUCUUGGGAGUUGGAAAUUGGGUCAGGAAGUGGACCUAUAUGAUUCUUUUGACCAGCUACGUAUAUUCAAUACACUAAAUUUAAAAGAAGGGGAAAAAAUAGAUGCACUAAACAGCAGAUUAGAUUGCUGAAGACAGAAUUAAGGUUUCCGGCAAUAUUUUUGUUCACAUGACCAGGGCCAUAUGUGAAUGGAUUCUGAUAUCUCCUUAGCUUUCUUUGGCUUUGUAAUAAUGAUACUAAUAUCAGGUUAUUGACAAAAAUCAGAACAGGAUGCUAUGAAAAAGGAGCAAUCAGAGAUCAAGAAAGAGUCCUUGAAUUAGUGUUGAAAUGGAAAAAAAUCUGUAUCGGGACUGAAUGGACUAUAUCCAGGUAAGGAAGAAAUUAGUGAACUGAUACAUAAAGGUAAAGAACUGGCUCAGAAUAUAAAGCACAAAGUCGAAAUGGAAAAUGUGCGGGUGAAGUUAAAAGAUAUAGAAGAUCCAGAAGGGCCAGUGUUCAACGAAUAUCCAGAUUCCAGAAAAAAAAAAAACAAAAUAGAGGAGGAAAAUUAUUAAAUGAACAAUUUCUACAACUAAGAAUGACAAAUCUCCAAAUUUAAAGAUGGUAUUGAAUUCCAACAAGGAUCAAACAAAACAAAACAAAAGCCCAAGAUAAAUCCUCAUGAAAUUUUAGAACUUUAAAGACAAAGAGAAAAAUAAAUCUGAAAAACAAGUUCUUGCAAAGGAAUAAACAUCAGAUUAGCAGCAAGAUUCUCAUCAACUAUAUUAGAUAUUAGAGGGCAAUGGAACAAUGCUUCCAAAGUCCUGUGAGAAAAUCAUUUUGAACCUAAAAUUCUAUGUCCAGGUAAAUGAUCGAUCAGGAGGGAAAUUUUAUUUCCUACACGCAUUUUUUGAAAAAAAUGCCUCAAUAAAGUACUCUAACAAAACAAAUACAAACAAAAGAAAAACAAGCAAACCAACAAAUGACAGAAUUCUAAGAGAAAAAUAUGCAAGAUCAAAGAAAUAGUAAGACUCAUUUAUUCCAGAAGCACAAGAUAAUAGCUGUUCACCAGGCCUAAAGAUAAUUGAUGAAAAUUAAAACAGGAAGUCAAAAUAUUUAGUGGAAAAAUUAUUCAAGAAGGCAUAUGUUUCUUCUAUUAAGAAGUAAUUUAUCAAACUAACAUUUAUUGAGUACUAUGAUAUACCGGGUGCUGGGUUAAAUAUUUUAUGUACCUUAUUUAAUCCUCACAAUGGUCCCACGAGGUAGGCAGUAUUAAUAACAAAUUACAAAUUAGUAAACUGAGCCUUAUAGAAGCUAAGCAACUUGCCCUAUAAAGCUAGUAAGUGAUAGAGCUGAGAUUUCAAUAAGCAAAAAACCCCAGGGAAUGGCUCCCUAGAGAAAUGGCUGAUGGCGGUGCCGGCCUCGUGGCUGAGUGGUUAAGUUUGCACACUCUGCUUCAGUGGCCCAGGGUUUCGCCAGUUUGAAUCCUGGGUGCCAACACAGCACCGCUCAUCAAGCCACGCUGAGGUGGCAUCCCACAUAACACAGUCAGAAGGACGUGCAACUAGAGUAUACAACUAUGUACUGGGGGGCUUUGGGGAGAAGAAGAAGAAAAGAAAAAAAAAAGAUUGGCAACAGCUGUUAGUUCAGGUGCCAAUCUUAAAAAAAAAAGGAGAAAUGACUGAUUGCAGGUAUAGGGCAGGAAACAUACAAGGUAAGUUGGUGACAUCUUGUCAUACCAAAAGGAAGAAAACCAUCAAAGAUCACUGGGUUGUGUCUCAAGGAUUCAGGAACCUGAAGAGGUUUCUACUUGCCAAAUAUAAGACAAUUUGGUAAUUAGAGUAAUAACUGCAAUAGAUUGAAACAUAUCAAACAUUUAAAUCCACGAGUUUGUAAUCAUACUUUAAAAGUGCUAGGGACAUGGCAACCACGAAGAAAGACCUAUAGAGGGUACACAAAAGAAAAUUAGAAAGGAAUCAAAGUAAGUCACUACAAAAAGUGAGACACAAAAGAAGGCAGCAAGAGAAGAAAAAGGAACAAAACAACAAGAUGUGCAGAAAAUGAACAAAAUGGUAAUAGGAAGUCCUUCCUAUCAGUAAUUACUUUAAAAUGUAAGUGGAUUAAAUUCUCCAGUCAAAAGACAUUGAGAAGCUGAAUGGAUUAAGAAAAGAUCCAACUAUACACUACCUAAAGGAAACUCAAUUUAGAUGUAAGGACACACAAAGGCUGAAAGUGAGAGGAUAGAAAAAGAUAUCCCAUGCAAAUAGUAACCAAAAGAGAGUAGGGAUAGCAAGAAAAAGAAAAAAAAGGCAUCCAAAUUGGAACGGAAGAAGUGAAACUCACUAUUUGCAGAUGACAUGAUUUUAUAUAGAGAAAACACUAAAGAAUCCACAAAAAAACUUUUAGAAAUAAUAAAUGAAUAUGGUAAAGUUGCAGGAUACAAAAUCAACAUACAAAUAUCAGUUGCGUUUCUAUAUACUAACAACAAAGUAGCAGAAUGAGAAUUAAGAAUAUAAUCCCAUUUACAAUCACAACAAAAACACAAUACCUAGGAAUAAACUUAACCAAAGAGGUGAAUGAUGUCUACAUUGAAAAUUAUAAAACAUUGUUGAAAGAAAUUGAAGAAGACACAAAGAAAUGGAAAGAUAUUCCAUGCUCUUGGAUUGGAGGAAUUAACAGUUAAAACUGCCCAAACUUCCCAAAGCAAUCUACAGAUUCAAUACAAUCCCUAUUAAAGUUCCAACAACAUUUUUCACUGAAACAGAACAAAGAAUCCUAAAAUUUAUAUGGAACUACAAAAGACCCUGAAUAGCCCAAGGAAUCCUGAGAAAAA
ensembl:lncRNA